GCUCCCUCGGUGGGCCUCUGUUGUUGUUAUUGCAGCAGCCCCCCAGUUCACCUUUCUCUUCCUAAACCACGGAUGCCAGCAAGGAGGAUCUGCUCCCUUAGAGCUGUCGCAGUGGUGUGGGAAAUCACUGCGUUGUCACUGUUCUCAAUCCGGUGCUUUUACCAGCACUAAAUCCAUGGUGGUUAGAAAUAAAAUGGCUGGACAAAACUGAUUUCCAGGUGUGCAGCUUGAGACAGUGACUACUUUUCAUGGAGUGGCACAGCUGAAGCAGUGUAAAAGUAGAUGGCUAUUGAACUUUUAGCUCCUGCUUUUCUCCUGUGAUCUAAAACCAGCCUGUAAGAAGUGUCGACAAGCCGUGGAAGAAACCACAUUAUCUCUUCAAUGAGAAGCUUCCCUACUGGCAUUUGAAAUCUUUUUAUAUUUGGAAGGGGAACAAGGAAAGAAAUGUGCAGCCCUUGAAGGGCUUUCUCCUUCCCGCUGCUUAACACAGAGCGAUAAAAUACACUACAGCCUUCCCCAACCAUUAACUUUGCAACAAAACAGGCUGUAAACAGUUAUUUCCUGAGAAGUCUCCCAGAUUAUCGUCACGCUUUUUCUGUAGGUCUUUUUUCCAACAUCAUUCCAACUCAUUCAGCUUUGUAUUUAGUGCAGAUUUGAUCUCAAAGUUGUAUCCGAUUGCUCUGUGCAUACCUAUAAGUUGCAGAAUCGAUCUUUUCCUCUUCCCUUGUGUGCUUGCAGACCAGUGCAGUACAAUACGAUGUACCGCUACUGUGCAGGAUUGGUACUGGUUUAUCCUGCCGUGGUUUUGUGCAUAAAGCCUAAAGUUAAGUGCAAGUAUUAAAGUAAAUGAUUUAGCUCUGAUGUGCCUACAUCAGGCUGACGCUGUGUUUCAGGCUCCUGCGGGAAGCGCGUCCUGGAUGUAGGGCAAAAUUCUAUUCUCGGGUUCCCGGAGUAGCUCCUGACUCAGUCUCUUGAGUCUCCUGUGCUGACACGUGCAGGUGUUUCAUGGUGUGAGGGAAAGCGAAUGCCCUGAAAGGAGCAAUCUGUCACCAACUGAGCGAUGGGCAAUAACAGCAAAACCGCAAACAGAGCAGGAGAAUCUUUCUUGAAUCAAUUGUGCCAUGUCUGAUGAAAACUUGAAGGGUUUGUGUCACUUCGGCAAUGUGCUUGUAGCCUCUUCUUCCUCCUGAUUAUCACGGAACUGAUCAAAGAUUGCUUUGUGGAUAUGAGGACAGAAUUUUGCCUGCAGGACGCACGAUAACCAACUGUGCCUCCUCUGUAAAUCAGCUGGGAGCCCAGUGUAACUCCGUCAAGACUGGAGUGACACUCUGAAUCUGCAUCUGCCUCAUGAAGGCUAUAAAAUUGUUACUGUAUGUGUCUUGGCAGCAAAGGUAAAAACAACCACAAAAAUGCAUGAGAACUGCAUACCUUACUGCACAACCCCUGCUCAUUCCAGAUCGGCUUCCCUCCUAACACGUACCGUGUAAGGGAAGCCCACACUCAUCACAGACCUAAAGGCUUGCAACGUUCACUCCUGUGGUACUGCUUUUUAACUUUCUAUAGUAUGAAUAGUAUAAUUUUAUGGCAAGUGAUGAUGUUAAGGGGAGGCUGAAAUGCUGUCAACUGGCUUCUGUUUUUUAAAGCUUUGGUUGUUCUCUUUCAAUCCAUGGUUACAUAAUCCAUGAACACUGUGUACUGAUUGCCCUGAGCCACUGAAGCAUUUGUCUGUUUUGGAACACGGAUUAUUAAAAUAACUUGUUCCUUUGGCGCUGGGGACUUGGCACGGUGGCAGACAUGACCAUCAAUUAAUAAGAAAGCAAAAAGAAAUCAGAAUAAGUGGUAACACAUGCUUCUAUUUGACUGUCAUCAUAUGUGUGUUGGGCUGAGAGAACAUGCAAGGACACGUGGAAAAUGGAUCAGUUGUGGUUUUGUGGCUGUGCAUAUUUCACCUGUCACACUGUCGUGGGUGCUUGGAGACAGCGUCCUUCUCAGCUGGGUGAACGAGCUGAGCACAGGAAAUGCUGCAUGGCAAACAUCUACGUUCAUGGCAUCAUCGUGGCCUACAAAUUAUCUCCAGUUGCGGUCUUAGCAGCUAGGAUUUGGGAGGGGGGCUUUCCAGGAAAGUGAUUAUUUUUUCCAUCAUCCAGCUGAGCUGCAGAAAAAAAGUAUUGAUCUGUCCUCUCUGCUCCUUUUCUCCAUGGAUGCCUGAGCUAAGCAAGAUAAGAGAGAGAGACCAACCCUGAGUACAAUAUUGAGAUAAAUAUUUUCAUCUAGCAGAAAUUAUCUAGUAAUACAUAUAACAGGGGCAUCUUCCCUGUUUGUGCUGUGGUACUUGCAGCAGCAUUAGCCUGUUCACAUUUGAUCUCAAGGAGGUAGAUGGUUUUGCCUGGAAGCUCAUGUUCCUGAAACAGGCUUUUGCACAGCUUACAAGGAAAGUCAGUGAAGGUUGUGGCUUGUCCUGAUUGAUACGGUGUGUGCUGUGGGGUAGAGCCCUGUCAAGAUGGGCUUGCUGCGCUCUCAAUCUCUUCCCAGUUGUGUGUCCAAUUAAAAGAAAGUUUGUCUUGGACAGUAACUAUCACAGUAAACUGCAGAACAAAGUUUAUUGUCCCUUUCCAGCCUCUGGGAGUCCAGUUUUCAGUGUCUCUGUUCGGUUCAUGUGUUAAUGGGAAGGUUCUUAUUUUCCAGGUAUUGUGGAGUGGUAGAAAAACAGGGAAGAGACCAGAGGUAUGAAUGAACUUGUAGUUUAAUUUUAUUCAAAGAGAUAUCAGGGAAGCAAAAUCCAGAGGUUGAGAGGUAAAGGGGAAAAAUUACCCUGCAAAAGGAAAAUUCAGAUUAACUAUGUGGCAGUAUCGCUUCAGCAGAGACUUGCGAAGGUGAAGGCUGAGACUGGCAUCUGUUCUUCAGCCUUUCUCUUACUGGCCUUUCAGCAUGUUUCCUUAGGCUCAAAGAGUUAAAAGGAGAUCUGUAGUGAUGAAUCAAAGAUGAGGAGAGAAGUGCAGCAGGGCAGAUGUUGAGUGAGAGUAUUUUGUGAGCAGCUGAGCGCACAUCCCACGUGGCACAGCUAUUCUCUGGUGGAGCAUUAACAAGACGUACAGGUUAUUUGACAGAAAGCCCUAUAGUUUCCCUGGAGAUAGUUCUGCUGAGGUUGUUUGUGAGCCACUUCUGUUUGUCUAGAGGAGAUACCAAGAUAUUCCUUAAGAUUUUGCCUUCCUCGGCAGGACCACCAUGGUGGCUGAGUUCAGAAAGAGCGGAGAUUUCUGGAAGACAUGUUUUGUUGGGGAGUGAUGUUUUGUGGAUAAAUUGGUAACCUGGUCACGUUCCCUAGGAAAUUAAUGAGAAGUAAUGCAGCAGCUUCAUGGGCAGAGUUGGUAACUGGAGACUGAUUCAAAUGAGGGGAAGGUUUGCACCUCCCUUGCCAUCUAAGAGCACGUGCAGGUGUAUUUAUUGCUGUUUUCCCUGGGAAGUGCCUUUACUGUCGUGCAUCAAAGGAAUUCCUUUUUUCACAUGGUGAUCUGGUGUCACUCUCACAAUGUUGUUCAUCACCUAACUGCCUUUUGCUCCCCCAAACUCUAGCUCACUCCCAGGAUUGCCUUGUCAGUCACUGCUUUCUUUGUUAGCUGCAGUUUUUGGUUGCUUAUUCCUAUCUACAGCUCAGUCAACUCUUCCUUUACUAAGGGACGGAAAAGGUUAUGUGCAUCAAGUGUUGUACGAUGUUGUUGAUGUUUGUCACUGGUAUCAUAAUGCUCAAAGAUUUUGAUAACAACUUUAUUUAUUCUAGUUAUCCAUUCAAGAAUAUUAUAGGUUGGCUUGUUACAUUUUGCAUUAAUGGUGUUAGCCCUUUGGGGGGAAAAAAAUAACUCUUAGAAUUCUGGUGCUUUUUAGCUGACAGGCCACUUGGGUGCCUGGGAAAAGCGAGCCCUCUGUCAUGGUUACUAUGAUCUGAGUCCUUUGACAACCGCAUUUCUUCCGAAGUCCUUACUGUUUUAAUAUUUUUGCAGUAUUUUGGUAUAUUUGUUUUCUCCUCUUAGAUUGAGCUUUUGUAUUCCACAGUGUAUAUAUAUUAAAUGGUAAUUACCUAGUUAUGAUAGAAAAUGUGUAUUAAUCUGUACUGUGAGUCCCACAGAUGUGCUAGAUAUCUCUCAGGAAAAGCAAUCUGUCUUUUAAAGAGCUUACUGUGUAAAUUGCACGUUUAUGUAUUUUAUUCGGCUAAGUUUGAAAUUUUCAAGUGUUUGAGCCAGUUGGGCCCACUGAAGUAACCCUCAUUAUGGUCAAGAGUUAUAUUUGACCUUGUUACCUCUUAGGACCAAAUAUAAGACAGCAACAUGCAGCACAUGUAAGCGCCCUGUCAUAGAAACACAGUGAUUUCCUUUUAAAUGUCCGUUAUGUUCAAAUGAUCUCAUUAAAUAGUUACAUUGCCAGUACCUGGAAAGGUCAUUUGCAGGGAGAAGACAGGCCUGAUGAUGGAAAUGACUCUGUUGAACAAGUGCAUUUCUUUUGCAUUGAGCUGAGGUAUAUUUCCCAGAUAAGCAGCUCCUCCGAACAGUGAGAACACUCAGCUCGCUUAGAAGAGUAGCAUUUUGAUGCGCAAGGGUAAUAGCUAACAGAUUUUUACACCACCAUAUGCUGCUGUUAACAAACAAAUCGUAUGUUAACUUGACAGCUCUACCUUCAAGCUAACGUAGUCUGCAGCAAACAUAAAUUCCCCUUGGAUGAAACCUGGAGACGAUACUAAGCUUUGCGAUUGUAUCCAGAGCAGUAACAGUAGCACAGCAGUGAUGAAUUUGAGGCUUUCUAGCCAUGAAUAUGUUUGCUCCCAAAGUUUAUUGGUUUCUUUACCAGCUUUCUGCAAACGCAGCAAAACAAAACCCAACGUGAGCAGGUGGAGCAUGGAGCGUUUGUGCACCUGCGUAACGGGACUGCAGGGAGAGGAGCUGCAGUUUGAAACACGUUUUCCCUGAUGCAGAGAGCUGUGAGAGACUAACGGAUAUUUCAUCUGGUGCUCUCUGCCGCUGAAACCCGAACUGCGGCUCUGCUCGGCUGCCGUCCUGGAGCGUGAGCUGAUUCCACCGCGGCUCCGGGGCCGGGGAACCCAAGGCGGAGAAGGGCAGGAACGACAAAGGGAGCGUGUGAUGUGGAGGAGGGAGGAGGGCGAGCGGGAGCUUUACUUUUAACUGCCUUCUUGUUUAACCCCCUAGUUGUUUUCAAAUUUUCUAACUGAAAUCUCAUCUUG